GAUCAUGGCCCAGGACGAACGCUGGCGGCGUGCUUAACACAUGCAAGUCGAACGCUGAAGCCCAGCUUUUGUUGGGUGGAUGAGUGGCGAACGGGUGAGUAACACGUGAGUAACCUGCCCCCUUCUUUGGGAUAACGCCCGGAAACGGGUGCUAAUACUGGAUAUUCACUUGCCUUCGCAUGGGGUUGGUGGAAAGGGUUUUUUCUGGUGGGGGAUGGGCUCGCGGCCUAUCAGCCUGUUGGUGGGGUGAUGGCCU
rnacentral:rRNA from 1 species